rnacentral:rRNA from 1 species
GACGAACGCUGGCGGCGUGCUUAACACAUGCAAGUCGAACGGAAAGGCCCUGCUUGCAGGGUACUCGAGUGGCGAACGGGUGAGUAACACGUGGGUGAUCUGCCCUGCACUUCGGGAUAAGCCUGGGAAACUGGGUCUAAUACCGGAUAGGAGCCAUUUUUAGUGUGAUGGUUGGAAAGUUUUUUCGGUGUAGGAUGAGCUCGCGGCCUAUCAGCUUGUUGGUGGGGUAAUGGCCUACCAAGGUGGCGACGGGUAGCCGGCCUGAGAGGGUGGACGGCCACAUUGGGACUGAGAUACGGCCCAGACUCCUACGGGGGGCAGCAGUGGGGAAUAUUGCACAAUGGGCGCAAGCCUGAUGCAGCGACGCCGCGUGGGGGAUGACGGCCUUCGGGUUGUAAACUCCUUUCGCGAGGGACGAAGCUUUUUGUGACGGUACCUAGAUAAGAAGCACCGGCUAACUACGUG